ACCUCGUAUUUUAUGAACUCUGGCUCAAUCGCAUCCGAGACCUUGGCCGAAUCAAUCCAAUCGAUGCUAAUUGUGUGAGAGUGAUAACAUUGGCAGAGAGCAAUGAAGCCUCCGACUAUAAGAAGAGAAAAUUAGAAAGAAGCUCCCAACGAAAGCGAGAAUGAGAAUCGCGAAAGGGAGAAACAGCGCGAUAAGGAGGGCACAGCUGCUCUCAGACUGGAUGAACAAAAGCACACGGCAGCAGGCGACCGGCCUCUGACUGCUCUCUUCACUCCGUCUCCCCUACAACUCGGCAGAGAAAUAGUUCAGCCAAAAAUAAAAUUCUCUCAUUAUUUCCUCCAUGGAGCACAAAAGACAGCAGCUGAAGACUGAUUCCCCUCACGUUUCACUGGAUCUGCACGGAGCACGAAGACUGCGAGCACCGAUUGUCAAGAGCUACCCCUCCACCAGUGGUUAACGCUUUCACUUUAACUUUUGCCUUCACGUUUGUUAAUAAAUCCACCCUCCGGG